AAUGAUGAUGGCGAACGGUGGUGAGCGCGACGACAGUGGCCCACUGCUCGAAUUCACCUCUCCUCUUUCUGCUGCCGCCAUGUUUCCAGGAUCAGCGAAGAAGCACCAAAGGGAUUGCUCUUCUCUCCCUUGUUUCCUUUCUCUUCUUGAACCCUAUUUCCCGGGAGAGGAGGAAUACCGAGAUCGGACUCUAAGAGGCAAGAGUCGGUGGAGAAGCGUGAGAUUGUGAAGCAGUCGGGAAAGAAUCCGCUUAAUCCUAAACCAAACAAUGGGCGUUUACCAUCUUCCGCAGGUAAUUUUUCCUACCCCUCUCUUCUAUGUUAUUUGCCCUAAAUCUCUAGGAUUAUGCUGCUCAAUCCUGUUUGGUCUGGUUUGUGGAUGAGAACGAAUCGAACUGGAUGAUGUGGGAGGAGAAUUUUCCAAAUCAUAACACAACUUCUUGUGCUGAACCUUAAAAUUUCAGCCAAUGUAGGUUUCCGAUUGUCGAUUUAAUUGGAUUCAUGGUAGUGUUGUCUUAAAUCUCUCAAUGCUUUCCCCCACAAGAAUGACACGAAUUCGUGUUCUUACCUUGUGUGUAUUUGAUUUAGACCCAAUGUGGUCUUGCUGUGUACUUUGAUAACUUUACUUGUAUCUUUAAUUUCCCAUAAAGAAUUGAGUUUCAUA